rnacentral:rRNA from 1 species
UACUGUAUAAAGAUCAGCCUGAAGCCACCCAAUCUUGUCUGAUUUUAGAAGUUAAGCAAGUUAGAGCCUGGUUAGUAAGACCAUGGGGAAGACCAUAGGUUACCAAGUAUUCACAGGCA